rnacentral:rRNA from 1 species
AACGUAGGGGGCAAGCGUUGUUCGGAAUUACUGGGCGUAAAGCGCGUGUAGGCGGCUUGGUAAGUCGGAAGUGAAAGCCCUCGGCUCAACCGGGGAACUGCUUUCGAAACUGCCAGGCUUGAAUGCGGGAGGCGAGAGCCGAAUUCCCGGUGUAGCGGUGAAAUGCGUAGAUAUCGGGAAGAACACCGGUGGCGAAGGCGGCUCUCUGGACCGUGAUUGACGCUGGGACGCGAAGGCGUGGCGAGCAAACAGG